AAACAUGUCUCUUUGAUUAUAUUUAUAUAAAGAGUUUGACCUGCCCAGUGAUAGAAUUUAACGGCCGCAGUACUCUGACUGUGCAAAGGUAGCAUAAUAAUUUGCCUUAUAAUUGAUGGCUAGUAUGAACGGUUUGACGAAAACAUUUCUGUCUCAAAUAUAUUUUUUAUAAUUUAUCUUUUAGGUUAAAAGACCUAAAUAAAACAAAAGGACGAGAAGACCCUAUUGAGCUUUAAAAAAAUUCUAGUAAAAAGAAUAUUAUUAAGAUUUCUUUUACUAAAAGUUUUUUUGGUUGGGGCGACCUAGGAACAAGUAAAGCUUCCUUAAAUAAAUAAAUAAUUCUGCGAAUGAUCCAACAUAAUGUUGAUAAAUGGAAUUAGUUACCGUAGGGAUAACAGCGUUAUUUUUUCUAAGAGAUCUUAUCAAGGAGAAAGUUUGCGACCUCGAUGUUGGAUUGAGAUAACUUAAAGGUGCAGAAGCUUUUAUAAGUUAGUCUGUUCGACUAUAAAAAUCUCACAUGAU
rnacentral:rRNA from 1 species